UAAUGAUAAAAUAGUCAAUAACAGUAGUGUUUUCCUUAAACAUCUACUCAAAAUUACAUGAAUAUCCUUUUUAAACAAUUUUUCAUAUAUCCUUAUUUAACAAACUAAAUUUUUGAGUACAAUAAAAUACUUUUACAUAGUAUGGGUAUUAUAAAUUCUGUAAUAACUUCAUUAUUUAGGUGUAGUUUUAAUUCAAAUAGUACUUAGGUCUCUAGUUAAAAGUUGAAAACACGUCAGAGUGCAUAAUUCGUAUGAGUUAUUUGAGCUCACUCUAGCGUUCAAACUUUACAGCUACGUAUAUCCUUAGAUUAUCUUACAAUAUCACAAGAUGGCAUUAUACAAACGUGUAUGGGUAAAAAAGCCGAUGAUAUUAUACAGGAUUGAGUUAAAUUUAUUUAAUUAUUUUAAUGUCAUAAUUAUAAUAAAAAUUUCCAAUUAUAAUAAAGAAUAGAGAACUUAAAUCUCUAUGACCAGUUUCCAUGAGAUAAUAUUAUUAUGGCAAGAUUUUUAAUAUUUUUAAUAAAUACAAUUUUACUAAGCAAUAAUAUUGUGUUUUUAUAAACAGAUAAUGGGAAAAAUAUUUUUUCACUAAAUAUAAAAAUGAUAUUUAGGCAGAUGUUUGUUUCAACCUUAAUAGCUUUUCUAUUAUUCCGCAAGCGCAUUUGGAAUAUUUUAUUUUCAAAAUUGAAUAGGCAUUCAAUAUCCAAGUACCUAUAAUUUAUAAUAGGUUAAGGUGUAUACCCGAUUAACAGAAAUAAUUACAAAAACUAGAAGUUCCGUGUUAUGAUACAAUAUUGCAGUUUUUAUUGUAGUAAUUGGAAUAUCUGUCCGGAUGUUUGGCUGUUUAGCUCAUCACCUCUAUUCAUAAAUUUGUCAACAGUUGACUUCUUAUCGAAAUAAAAUACCAUAAAACUUCCAACGGAUAACCGUAAAUACCAACAAGUCAAAGAGUAAGAUUGCAUCUUAACACAUAUCAAUGAAUAAAAUUGGACAAUAAAAUACAACUGCAUUUGUAUCGCUAAAGAUGUUAACAUAAAACAACAAUGCUUCAAUGAUUCAUAAAAAAAUGAAUGUUUUUUUAACUUUAUGUAAAUUUGAUAUUUUUUAAAUAUUCCCUCAUAUUUAUGUAAGCCGAUAACACACCUAUAUAUAUAUACUUGUGUUGAAUAAAUUAUUUUGUUUGUCAGUUUUAAAUUACUAAAUAACUACAUAACUACACAGGUAUA